GUGGAUUUGCAGCAGAAACACCCUGCUAAAGAACAAGUAUCUUGGUUCCCAGGAAAGAGGACAAAGGAAAACAGCAAGUUAUAGGGAGUUGAAUGCUGGAUUAGAGUGAAGGAGUGAACCGGUGAAGACCUGAAGGAAUGGAGGCUGCAGGAAAACAAAAUAUCGAUCUUAAGAUGGAAUAGAAAAAUUAGGAGUGAACAAAGAUAGCAGUGAAGAUGGGAGACCGUAGAGAUGGACUUCAGGACCCUCCUGACUGCACUCCAGGAGACAACGUCACUCCCAGUGGGGAGACUGCAGUCCAGGUCUCAAGGCUCUCUAUAAGCAUGAUACGUCCUGCAUCUCCAGGCUCCAGAGAUUUCAUCUCACCCUCCAGGGCUACCCAGCUUGUCUCCAGUCCUCUUAUACAGGGGAGCCGUGGGAUCUCUCCUCCAUGUCAAAGACCAAGAAAAAGAGUCAUUUUAGGGACACCUGGGUGGCUCAGUUGGUUAAUCUUCUUACUCUUGA